ensembl:snoRNA
AUCUGUGGCUGAUGCCUUAAUCUGGGUUCUUGUUUUCACCCUAUUCUAUGAGAUGUGCCUCCCUCAAAACCCGUUACAACACUGGCACAUUACCCUUCUGAAA